rnacentral:lncRNA from 1 species
GUCGCGAUCAGGAAGCACCUGGAGAGGAACAGGUCGGACGUGGACGCCAAGUUCCGCCUCAUCCUCGUCGAGAGCAGGGUCCACCGCCUCACCCGCUACUACCGCCUCACCAAGAAGAUUCCCGCCGCCUGGAAGUACGAGUCCACCACCGCGAGCACUCUCGUCGCCUGAUUUGGUUAAGCGGUUCUUUGACGUAAUUCUCUGCAGCUUUUGGACUUCGGUUUUGUGUUAAGUAGUAAGCAAUGCUUUUUGGGGAUGUAAGCUGUUAAACCUAUCAGCUACCGCUCGUGUGCCUGGACAGAAGUAUUUCGAGAGUUUAGUGGGACUGGAUCAGGUUCUGAUCCUUGGAAGUUGAGACUAUUUACAAUGUGUUGGUGUUUGGUAACUUCGAGUAGGCUGGUAAUGCUCUUCGUAGGUGUAUUGCUAUCACAAAUCCUGCAGUGGAGUAAGAAACUUGCUAAUGCACUCUUCAUGUUUUAUCCUGUUUUAUUGUUGUUGCGAGCUCGAGUUGUUGUAGGCUAGAUUUAAUUUCUAUAAAGCUUGGCUAUCAAAGUUAAGGAGCCUACAGAGAGAUUAGUCAAUUUGGGAAUUUUGCCAUUCUUAUUUAGGCUUUCUAACGAGCUAUUGGGCUGGAAUAUGUGUACUGUUCUACUCCCUCCGUUCCUAAAUAUAGGUCUUUUUACAUUUCAAAUGGACUACAACAUACGGAUGUGUGUAUGUAGACAUAUUUUAGAGUGUAGAUUCACUCAUUUAGCUCCGGAUGCUGUCACUUGUUGGAAUCUCUAGAAAGACUUAUAUUUGGGAACGGAGGGAGUAUUACCUUUCCUAUGUUAGGUACCCCUCAAAAAAAAAUUCCUAUGUUAAGUCAGUGGUAAAUCAGUUGUUCAAAGCAUGUGGGAUCCAUACCAGGUUGUGUAAGAAGAGUAAUGACGUAACCUGUAAUAAAUACCUUGAUCAAAUGAACUAAUUUACAAAAAUCACAUCAUUUUUGGGAAACUUGUUCGUUCUUUUGAACUAGACUAGAGAGGAGUGGAGGCUAACAUAGGGUCAUUAAUCUGCACCUCUACCAGUAUCUGUUGGAGAUUUCACUUGUGCUCCUUUGUUUCUUGUCCUGGAACCUGUGCCCUGGCCUGUUGCAUUCUCUAUGGCAGGUCAGUCCCCCCUCUACCCACGAUGAUUCAGGACCAAUCGUUAGUGUGAGCGUACAAUAAUGUUUCUAAUGAAAGUUUAAAUUAUCAGAUAGCUUCCAGUACUUUGAGAAUGAGCUUUGCAGUUGUACCUAUUCUUCUGUCUAUGCCGUUAAUCUUAGGUCAUGGAGUUUGUGUUCUAUAUAAUCUAAUUUUGCCGUUAAUCUUACAUUUCAGAUGCCUAUGUGCAACAUGCAUUCACAUUCCGAUUGUAGCGCUAACAUUAUUGCAUUGGAAUAUUUUGUUUGACAUUAUUGUUUAGUUGAUAUAUAAGUGCUCAGACCAUUUCUUGUUCUUGAUUGUAUUGUUUACUUUACUUGGUGACGAUCUCAUGAGUAUGUAGUGCUACUGUAUCAUGGUUGGCUAUUAGUGUUCCAAAUGUUUCUUAGGACAAUCCAAACUUGUUUCAGUGGGAAAUAUUUUCCUUUUAAAUUCCUUGGCCCCGACUUAACUGAAAGCAAGCAUCAAGCAGACACUGGCCAUGGGAAUGCGAGUUGCGACUAUACACCAAACAUGUGGUCCAUACCAUGUAUUGUUCUUGGUUGUGAUGCUUCCUGUGCAUGAACUAAAAGCUCGGAGUACAGUAAUAUCUCUUCCAGUUGUGAUGCUUCCCAUUUAUCAGUCGUGGCAAACAGUCUGCUUGAGAAAUUCUACCUCCCAGCCCUUAUUGAUCCAGGACCUAAUUGUUUACUGUGAUCAUAUCAUAAUUUCUUUGAUGGAAGACUGGAAGUUCAGAUCAUAUCAGAUACGUAGGUUCCAAAGGUUCUGUCUAUGAGCUUUGCAGCUGUAGCUGUCUGAUGAGCUUUGCAGCUGCAGCUGCUUUGCUGUCUAUGCUGUUAAUCUUUAGCCUUUUGUUGCCUAUGUCGUUAAUCUUAGGUCUGGGAGUUCGAGUUCUAUAAUCUAGUUUAGCAAUUGGCUUCAAUGAUGUUAUUUUCCUUUCAGAUGCCUAUGUGCAGCAGUCAUUCACAUUUCGAUUGUAGCACUAUCAUGAUUGCAAACAAGGGUCUUUUUAAUUGUAGCACUAACAGGUCUUGAAGAUUUUGUUUGACAUUUGUUUGUCUAGAUGACCUAUCGUAGCAUCCAAGGGUCUUUUCACGUACUAUGUUUCUGUGUUCAAACUUUUCAGUUAGUGAUAUACAAAUUGCUCAGACCAUUCUCUUGUUCCUGAUUGUGUUGUUUACCUUACUUGCUGAUGAUCUUGUGAAUAUGUGGUGCAGCCCUAUCAUUGUUUUGCUUUGAGGGGUUCAGAAUAUUUCUUUGGACAAUCAAACUUCUUUCAGGUGGAAAUAUUUUUCCUUUGAACUUCUUUGGCCCGUAAUGACUCAACUGAAAUCAAGCAUAAGUACUUCUCAGCUGUGGCCAUACGCCAAAGAUGUGUGUGAUCUGCCAAUCUGCUAUCCUGUCCAUUUAGUCCAGCAGUCAGAUGGCGUGCCACACAUGAAGCAAUCAGGCAUGUUUUGUAACACGAACGCUAAACCCUUUGCAAUGAUUGAUCAAACCAAGCAGAAGCAGGUACCAGCGCCGCUGGCUGGGCCGAAUAAUGGUGCGUGCAUGAUCUCAACCAAGUUGGAUGCUUGAUCUGAAUAGAUUGGAGAUGUCGUACGCACUUGCCCUGUAGAUUUGUUUGUUGGCUGGAUCUUAACUUAAUCGGCAGCAUAUGCUGCCCCUCAACUUGCAUACAUUUCCAAGUGCCGUGUUUGGGGGACUUUGACCGCUGCUUGUUUAAGUUGGUCGCGGCGGGAUGGGUUAUUAGCGCAUCGCUAAUGGAAUCCCUAAUAAUAAUUUAGAGGAUCUUUAACUCCUCAAAAUUUUACUCCUCUACAAUGGCCGUACCUCGCCAAACCCUUAAAUUUAACUCCUCAAACGAACUUUUUUUCCAACCGGGCUCAUACCCUUUUUCAUUAAUUUUGCAAUCAACGGAAAUACAUCAGUCAUGUGUCGAUCAUGUUUCACAAGAUAAGCACCGAGCCAGCUAAAGAUAACUACCCAGCAAAAGGAGACUGAAAGGGGCACGAGCGAGUUGGUGCAUCGACAGGAAACCCACUGCAUGACAGCCCUAGAACGGAUUAUCAGCUGUGGGGCGAAAACCUGACGACACUACAACCACAACUCGAACCAAAAGCACCUGAUCUAGGACAUAGGAACUCUAAAGAGGAUGGAUCCGUAUCAUCAAAAGAACAAUUCCAGUGGGCAUCAGACCCCAGUGGAUAUAGGCCAGUCUAAAAGUAACAGGAUCAAGACAGCUCCCCAAUCUGAAUACCAUCCCCAUCUCCCAGGAGCAGCCUGCUACGAGCAUAUGAUCUGUCCGUCAGAGCAGCCGCCACAUUAGCCAGCCUCUUCACCCCCACUUGGAAUCUCAUCUUGUCUUCCUCCUUAAGCAAUCCUGCCCAGUAUAACUCCUCAAACGAACUGACCCCACAUAAAAGUAUAUGUUCAUCUCCUUCUACCUUCUUCCUUCCACGGCGCUCCCAAGUCUUUGCCACAACGACGAGAUCCCCCAGCCUUGAUACCGCCACCUCGCCAUCGGUCUUCGCCACCACGACGAGGUCCAACGCGCCUGUGCCCAUGCUGCCUAGCUGAAGGUUUGGUCGUGCUCGCCAUCGAAACCGACGGCGGCCUACCAGGUGCAUGUGUGGUGUGCGUGCACAACUCGGUCGGCGGCAGCGCAGGCGUUGCAGGACGCCACCAGAGCUCCAGGACGUGGCGGCCAUUGUAGGACGUCACAGAGGCAAGCGCACAUAGCCGACGGCGUACGCACACGAUUUUAUGAAGUUCCUUGCUGCCAGCGAGAUUCCGGCGCCAACGAGAGGCGGCGGAGUUGCGAGGGCGUAGGAGGGUUCCAUUUUCCCGGUCACCAAGGUGGUUGACGGCCGGCGGCGUGGAUUUCGGCAGCAGUAGACGCGAGAAAUGGAAGGGAAUUUUUUUAAGGGGCGGCGUCGCAGAGAAGUAAAUAUAGAAGAGUUGGACGUUGGAGUAAACUUAAGUCCUUAAAAUUUUACUCCUCUAGAGAUUUGAGGGUUCGACUAGGUACAAAGGAGUAAAAUGAGGACUUAUAGGUUUUUAAGGGAUCCAUUGAAGAUCUCUUAAGGCCCCUUUGAUACAAAGGAAUUUCAUAGGAUUUUUAUAGGAUUUGGAUCCUUAGGAUUUUUUUUUGUGAUGGUCGUUUGAUUUGUAGGAUUGGAAUCCUUAGGAUUUUUUUCAUAGGUUUCAUUUGUACUACAUUUUGAAGGAAACUUUUCAUUCACUCAAACUUUUUUGUAGGAUCCCAUCAAAAAAACUUUUUUGUAGGAUUCCUUUGUUUUUUCUAUGCUAUCAAACACUUCUCCAAAUCCCAUAAGAUAUAAGAAGACAUGACACUCUAUUCCUAUAUUUUUCCUAUUCCUGCAUUUGAAAAUCUUGCGAAUCAAAGAGGGCCCUUAGUUUGAAAUGAUCCCAACCAAACAACCAAAUGCAUGUCAGAGGUGGUGGUUUAAUCAAGUCGGGAGGUUUGGUUCGUUGGACUGUCGUACUGUACUGCUGAUAUCGUGCUCGGUGUGCGCAUUUGUUUAUGGGAGAUGCGGUUGUCUGUUGAUGUUACUGAUAUUCUAGGUUUUGGACCACUUUCACAACUGGCUUUGCUGAUAUAGUGAUGCCACCACGCUUACUCUAUAAGCCUGGAGCACUUAACAACUUUGGCUUCAACAUCUAGGCAACUUUACAACUAUGCAUUUCUCUUAGAUGCAGUUGCUGAUAUAGUGAUACAUUUUUCCGGCUAUUAGAAAGCUUGAAUUUUUCUCUCACUAUGUACUCUCCUUAAUUUGUACUCCUUUCGUCCGGAAAUACUUGUCAUCAAACUAGAUAAAAAGGAAUGUAUCUAAAUGUAUUUUAAUUCUAGAUACAUUGCUUUUUAUCCAUUUUAAUGACAAAUAUUUUCGGACGGAGGAAGUACUUCUCCGUUUUAAAAUAAGUGUCUUAAUUUUAUACUAACUUUAAUUUAAAAUUGUACUAAGGAUGAGACACUUAUUUUGAGGUAGAGGAUCUAUAUACAUAUAGAUGUGCACUGAGUUGCCAUAAGGCAGCUGGGCGUUUACUACACACCUACUCUAGAAAGAUAAGUACUUCUUCCGUUCCAAAUUACUUGUUGUAGGUAGUUCUAGAUACAUCCAUACCUGCGACGAGUAAUUCGGACGGAGGGAGUAUUUGGAAACGGAUGGAGUAGUAGCUAUCACCACUGUCAUUUUAUUUUGCGAACGUACUCUUAAACAUUCAUCGGAAACACAUGGGGUCACGUUGUGAGCAGUCAAAGCCCGGCAGGAAUUCCCUGAUGGCGCCAAAUGCAGGAUAAAAACAAGGACGUUCGGGUACAGUUGCUAUCCUGCACCUUGCCAUUUCUUUAUGGGCCGCGGCCAAUAAACAAGGCACCUAAUCUCGGGCCAUGCUGCCAUGGCGCCGUUCGAGAUCGGACAGUUCAUCGCGGCGCCCGGGCAGCCAUUAUAUAUCCGUCUCUGGAUCUAGCAAAUCACAGCCCCGCACCGCAUUGAUCGUCUCCCGUCUCCACACCUGCGCUACCCACUGUGCUUCGCUUGGCAUCCGUCCACACACACACACACACGCAACCAGCAGCAGCCUGCAUUCCCAUGGCCAGCCUGGUGCACCAGACGGCGGCCCCGAUGCCGGCCGCGGCGGCGAUGGACGACGACUUCAUGCCGCAGAGCUUCGGGUGCUUCGGGCGGUCGCUGUCUCGGGCGUCGUCGGCCCGGCGGCUGGAGUACAGGGCGCUGAGCGGCGAGGGCGGGGAGGAGAUGAGGCGCAUCGCGCAGGAGGAGCGGUCGGCCAGGGCGAAGCUGCGGUGGAAGGCGGUGGCGCAGGAGAUCAUGGCCAGGAGGAGGGGCGGCGGCGGCGGAGGCGCGGCGCGGAGGAGGAAGGCGGGGUUCAGCUACGACUCCAAGAGCUACGCGCUCAACUUCGACCAAGGCGCCGCCGCCGAGUAGCCAGCGAGCGAGCGAGCGAGAUCGCUGGCGAUCGAGAUGCAGCUAGCGCCUAGCGUACUGGCGAGCGUGCGUGGCUGGCGCUGCGGCCAGCCGACUGGCGACCGAUGCCGGCGGGGGAAUGGGGCGGCCGUGGCAUGGUUAUUGUUGGUUGAGAAUUGAGAAUGUGGAGGUCUAGUUUUGUGCCAGAUCUUGUGUUCUUUGGUUGGUUAUUCUUAGUUGAGAAUUGAGAUGUUGGGUGCAUGUGCAGGAGUUGGCUGAUGCGUCCUGACAUAUUCAUGUGGUGUAAUAAGAUGAGCUGCUAGAUGUUUCAAAGUGAAUUCACUGCAUUUACUAUAAUGGUUGUUUCACCAGUAAAUGCUCCCUCGUCCAUGCUCCGGGAAACAUAAGAGUGAGGCUACACGUCACGCGACUGACUUUUUCAAAUCAGGUCAGUCGAUUUUUCAAACGUACGACCGAAAUCUAACGGCGCCCGACCUUUCUUCUACCUCCAUCUCUUCUUCUUCUCCAGCCGCCGCCCGAGCCACCGGCCUCAUCGCCCGCGACCGCCACCCGUGGCCGGCGGCGCUCCCACGCCGCCCUGCCCUCUUCCUGAAACCGCCCCCACCGCCGGUCUAGUCGCCGCCCCCGGCCAUCCCUUUAGGCCUGUCGGUGGGAACGACACCUAUGGGAUCACAAGAAUCCCUACUGUGAUUAUCGGGGCGCGGGGUCAUGAGAAGAGCGGAUCAAACAGAUAGCACACGGUUCGUUUAUCCAGGUUCAGGCCGCGAGGAUGCGUAAAGCCCUACUUCUGCUUUGGUGGAUUGUAUAUCUGUGUUCUUGAGCUAGCUAUGGGGCGUGAGGAGCUCCAAAAAGCCGAAUCCUUCCUCUGGUCGCCUUGGGGGGGUUGCCACAGUGGCACACAGGAGGUGGAAAGGGUACAUGAUGCGAGGUUAUCCCUCGCAUUACAUGACAAGGCGCAUUUAAUGCGUCUUGCUUACGUGUCCUUGCUUUAUCGGGAACGGGGGAGAAACCUGUCUCGUCCGUCGCCGCUCCUUCUUGUGUCGACACGCGCCCUGGCCAGCGAAGCCUGAGAUGCCAUGUAGGUAGGCAGGUAGCUGAGGUGGCGCAGUGGUGGGUCUUCAUAAAGAUCUGCAUGCCGCCACGCGGGUGCCUGCCCAGCUGGUUGGGUCAGCAGCUGCAUGCAUGCGGUGGUGGAGGUUUAGUCGGCGUGGGCCUGAUGGUGGCCCUGCGGGUGUCCUCGGCGCUUACCGGGGGCCUUGUGGUCUUCCUUGGCUGGGAUCCCGUCAAGGGUUGUCGUCUCCUUAGUGCGUAUCUGAUCUUGAAUGUCUUCACAAAGAUCUGCAUGCCGCCACGGGGAUGUCUCCCGAAUCCUUGCCCUUUGGGGGCAGUGGACUCAAGGGUGAUUUGCUCCGUAGGCGCGGGACGAGUCGCCGCGGCAAGGGUCUUGCCGGGGCUCCUAGAACUGUCUCCCGGCAAGGAUCUUGUCGGGGGAGUCCGCUUCGUCCCCUUUGCUCUUCGUGGUCUUAGCCUUGGCGUCGUUCUAGUUCUCUUGAGCUUCGGUCUUACCUUGGCUCACCUCCCUUGCCUUGCUUGGUGUGGUGGUAUCCACGGCUCAGACUGCCCGUGCACGGUUAUAGGGGUACAAAAUGUGUACCCCUCUUUUUGUACACUGACAGGAGCCCCCGGGCCUGGGCCACACAUAAGCGCAACGCGUUGUUGGGCUAGGACCAAAAACGGUGCGCGGGCAGGCGGGACGGUUUUUACCGUGGCAAGAUUCUUCGCGCGCUGCGUUUCCCACGACUCCCGCACGUGACGCGGCGUGGGGAGGUGCGUGUGACGUGGGCAGCAUGCGUGGGGUUGGUUCGCGCGGGCAUGCGUCACACCACAGUUAAUGUGAAAGGAGGCGGCCCGUGUUUUCCCCCAUAAAAAAGGAAUAACCACGGGCGCGCUGCUCACUUUCUCCUCUUUCCUCGUGCCUUUUCCAAUCUCAGAGCCGCCGUUUUCUCUCUUCCUUCCUUCCUAAGCUUCAGCCCCUCCCUUCCAUCCGUCAUGGAGAGAGGGAAUCCCGGUCCUUCAACAGUGGCGGCGAGGGUCACCGCUCGACAAUGCGUCCCUCCUUCUCCUGCGCCUGCGGUGGCAGAGCCAGCAGUGAGGGGAAGGGGGAGGGGCGAGGCCGUGGGCGAGGCCGGGGCGCUCGGGGAAGGGGAGGACCGGGCGGCGCGCCGGCCUCGCCUCCGCCAGUAGCUCCUCCAAUGGAGGGCCAUGUUGGGGAUGACCCUUGUGAGUUCUUCGGCAGGCUGCGCCGGCCGCCGCGUCGUCGCCUUCGUCUCCCGACUCCAUUUGCGCGGGAGAUGGAGCUGGAUCCGCCGGAGUCGUUGCGGCUGCACAUGAGGGGCUGCGGGAUCAGUGGCAUGUGGGUCCGCGUCGACUUCCCCGCCCCUCACGUGAUGUAUCUUCGUCGGGGAUGGAAGACGUUUGCUCAUAUCCACCGCUUGACGGAGGGGCUCACUCUCCAUUUUAAGCUGAUGAAGGGUGGCCUUCUCUCCGUCAAGAUCUUCGGGCUCUUUGGGACCCGUGCGAGGUGCUGCGUGGAGAGAUCUUCUGAUAGUGAAGACUCCUCCUCGGGCGGGAGUGACGAGGAGGACAGCGGCAGCGACGACGAGGGUAGUAGGCAGCAGGAUGAUGGGUCCGACUAGGUGUCGGGUGCCGCUCCGUGCGGCACCGGCGACCCCAUCAUCCGUGUCGCCGGCUCCCUGAACUUCUCGGGGUCAUCUCCUUGGGUGGCUGGCGUUGGGAGGCUGCGGAAGAGGAAGAGGGCGGGCGACAAGGCCGUCAAGUCGGAGUACGCGGGCACUGAUGCCUUCGACGCGUGCUGACGUCCUGCCGCCUCGUCUUCGAGCUCUGCUUCCGGCGCCGCCAUCACCAUCCAGCCUUUGGACGGCCACCAAGAUGUUCUCUUGGUGUCUUCUGCCACCCGUAGCUCGCCUAGGCGCUCCUUUUGUCCUUUUCGCCUCCUUGACCUGCCUCCUGAGGAGAGGGACAAGAAAGGGAUUACGGGCACCUUAUCUCUUUUUAGUUUGUAAGCCUUCGUGCCUUUGCUGAAUUUAAAACUUGUAAUCCCAUCAUUCAUGUUUUUCAUUCCCUAUGGACUGUACCUGAGUGGAAUGUCUUUUUAAUGAAAAAGGGAUGCUUGCCGGGUCAUUUGUUUGCGGGUGGAACCCACGACAAGGAGUAAAUCCUUGAUAUCUUCAAGAUAAACAUUUCCUUGCCCGGCAACAUGCCUUGCCAUCUCCCCACUUCGCUCGACCUUCCUCACGCCUUUGACGGAGGUAGGGAUGAGGCGGGUUCAGGCUCCUUGUUUCAUCCUUUCGCUGCCGCGACUACGACCAAACUUGGCCCCAGGAACGAGCCCUAGGGCCUAGAGUUAGGGGAGCACGGUAGCUUAGGGGAAAACGAGGUUUCACAUACCUCAGUCCAUAAUGGAAUGCAUGAUAAGGGAUGAAGAACUUAUCUGAAGCUGCAGUCCCCGGCAACCCUAGUUCGCCGUGGGUGAAUCUUUGCUCUUGCAGCCCCCGGCAAUACUGGCUUGCCGGGGGCUAGAUGUUGGUCUGUUCCUCUUUUUUUUUCUCCCCAAGUGGUUCGGCACGGAUAUCUGUGUGUCCUGUGAACCAAAGAAGUCAAAAGAAAGAUAAAGAGAUGCACACUCGACCUCUAAGCUAGGGGUUAGUCGCCGCUAAGCACUAUCAACCCUAACCAAGGACGAGACUCGACCUAGCAUGCAUGCUAUAACUUAGGGCGCCAGCGCUUCAUUUAUUUAUGCUCAGGGUCUGCGCCUGGUUUUGUACAAAGGGUUACAUGCGUCAUCGGCAAGGCUCGUACAAAAGGUGGCUUGCCGGGGGGCCCGGCAAGCCGCACCUCACGGGUAAAACUUGCAGAUGCCCAAUGUUCCAGGAGUUACUCACCGAAACGACAUCUUCGGUCUCCAGGCGGACUGCGCCGGGCCUGGUGACUCGUAUUACCCGAUAAGGGCCUUCCCACUUUGGCGUCAACUUGUUGGAAUUCUUGGCUGAUUGAACGCCUCGAAGAACAAGGUCGCCAUCCUCAAAGCUUCGGGCAUUAACCUUGCGGCUAUGGUAGCGGCGCAAGGCUUGCUGGUAGCGCGCUGCUCUCACAGCCGCCCGAAGACGAUCUUCCUCAAGGAGCGUUGCGUCAUCUUGCCGCAAUUGCUCUUGCUCAAGCUCGUCAUAAGCGAGUACUCGAGGUGACCCGUAUAUGAGUUCCGUGGGGAGAACUGCUUCUGCCCCGUAUACCAGGGCAAAGGGUGUCUGGCCGGUGGCUCGAUUUGGUGUCGUUCUGAUUGACCAAAGAACCGCCGGCAAUUCAUCAAUCCAGCGCCUUCCACUCUUGUGCAGUCUGUCAAAGGUCUUUGUCCUCAGGCCUCGCAGUACUUCAGCAUUUGCCCUCUCAGCUUGACCAUUGCUUCGUGGGUGAGCAACGGAAGCGAAACAGACCUUGCUACCGAGGUCUUGAAUAUAUUGCAUGAAGGUGUGGCUUGUGAACUGUGUGCCGUUGUCGGUGAUAACCCUAUUGGGUAGACCAAAACGACACACCAGUCCUUUGAAGAAUUUGACGGCUGACUGUGCUAUGACCUUCCUCACUGCUUCCACUUCUGGCCACUUUGUGAACUUGUCGGUUGCAACGUACAAGUACUCAAAGCCCCCGACAGUGCGGGGGAAAGGGCCCAGUAUGUUGAGCCCCCAGACCGAGAAAGGCCAGGAGAGAGGAAUGGUUUGAAGGGCUUGAGCUGGCUGAUGAAACUUCUUUGAAUGGAACUGACACGCUUCACACCUGGUGACUAGUGUCGUCGCAUCCUGGAGGGCAGUGGGCCAGAAGAAACCUUGCCGAAACGCUUUGCCGGCAAGGGCCCUUGACCCGAUGUGGGAUCCACAUAUGCCUCCAUGUAUCUCCGCCAACAGCCACAGUCCUUCCUCUCGAGGGAUACACUUCAAUUUCACGCUGUUCGGCCUCUUUCUGUACAGGACGUCAUCGACGAACUGGUACAUAGUAGAGCGACGGGCUACUUUUUCCGCUUCUUCCUGCUCCUCAGGAAGUUCCCCUGUUUGGAGGAAUCGGACGGUAUGUUGUGCCCACGCUGGAGCCUGGGGCUCGACGGCGAGGACUAAAGGCAUUUCCUCCGCUAUCGGAGCGGCUAUCUCCAUGGCAAGAGCUUGAUGCUCUGUCGGAGCCAGUCGUCCCGUGGCGGGCUCAGUGUCUCCGGCAACAUCCUUGCCGACGGCUUCGGGGAGCUCAGCGGGAAAGUACUUGCUGGGCCCUGAUUUUCUCCUCUUGUUCUGCUCUGUUGAUAGAUCAACGGAUGGCUGAGUUAGCCGAAGCACAAAGGUACCUGGUUCCACAGGUAGCUUGAGGGCAGCGCGUUUUGAUAGGUAAUCGGCGAUAUCAUUCUCCGCUCGGGGAACGUAUUCUGCCUGUAUACCGUCGAAACGCUCUUCCAGCUUUCUCACUUCAUCGACGUAGGCCUUCAUCAACGGGCUAUGGUAAUCCUUGUUGACUUGCUUGACGACAAGUUGCGAGUCGCCUCUGACAACGAGUUUCUUGAUUCCGAGGUCCACCGCGAUCCUAAGACCGGCAAGCAGCCCUUCGUACUCAGCCGUAUUGUUUGUUGACACCUCCCUAGGGAAGUGCAUCUGGAUCACGUACUUGAGGUGCUCUCCGGUGGGCGCAACAAGCAGUACGCCAGCCCCGGCGCCCUGUAAGGAGUAAGCUCCAUCAAAGUACAUGAUCCAGUCGCAACUUGCCUCCUUGCCGGGGAGAGCAGUCUCUUGGGUUUCUUCGUCAGGCGUCGCGGUCCAUUCUGCAACGAACUCCUCCAGGACUCGGCUUUGAAUCGUCGAGGUACUCUCAGACUUGAGGCCAAAGCUGGACAGUUCCAGUGCCCACUCUACGAUCCUUCCCGUUGCGUCUGGAUUGUGCAAUAUCCAUUGCAGAGGGAGGCGAGUGACGACAGUGAUUUCGUGCGCCUGGAAGUAGUGAUGCAACUUCCUCGAGGCCAUAAGAAGGCCGAGGAGCAGUUUCUGCACAUCGGAGUACCUCGAUCUAGCCCCCUGCAGGAGGGAACUAACAAAGUAGACCGGGUGCUGCAUCAUUUUCUUCUUCGGCGGCACUUCAAUUGGCUGCAUCGUCUCGGCAUUGGUGGCAUCGGGCUCCGUCGCUGCUAUUACCUCAUCAUCAAUUUCUCUCUGCGCCACUAGUGCGGCACUGACCACCUGGUUCGUUGUCGCCAGGUACAGCAGCAACGGUUCCUGUGGCCUAGGCGCAACUAGUAUUGGCGCGGAGGAGAGGUACCUCUUCAAAUCUUGCAAUGCUGCUUCGGCUUCUGGCGUCCACUCCAUCGGGCCCGCCUUUUUCAAAAUUUUGAAAAAAGGAAGGGCGUGCUCGGCGGACUUGGAAAUGAACCUGCUCAUGGCGGCAACGCAACCAGCAAACCGACGCACAUCCUUGACUCGCUUGGGCGCUUCAAUCUGCUCUAUAGCUUUGAUCUUGUCCGGAUUGGCCUCUAUCCCACGUUGUGACACAAAGAACCCGAGAAGCUUGCCAGACGGGACGCCGAAGACGCACUUCUCAGGGUUCAGCUUGAGAUUGAUCUUGCGUAGGUUUGCAAAUGUUUCUUGUAAAUCUGAUAUGAGGGUUGCCCUGUUCUUGGUUUCGACCACUAUAUCAUCCAUAUAAGCUUCCAUAUUUCUAUGGAGCUGGGGUUCAAAACCAAUCUGGACCACCCUUGCAAAUGUUGAACCAGCACUCUUCAACCCAAAAGGCAUCUGUAUAAAGCAAUACGUACCACAUGGGGUGAUGAAUGUCGUUUUCUCUUUAUCUUCCCUUGUCAUGAAGAUCUAGUGGUAGCCGGAGUAGGCAUCGAGGAAUGAAAAUAGAUCACACCCAGCUGUGGAGUCAACAAUCUGGUCGAUGCGCGGCAACGGGAAGGGGUCUUUGGGACAAGCCUUAUUAAUAUCUGUGUAAUCAAUACACAGCCUCCACUUCCCAUUUGCCUUGCGCACUACCAUCGGAUUGGCCAACCACGUUGGAUGGAGCACUCCUCUUACCAAACCCGCUGCUUCCAGUUUCCGGAUCUCCUCUGUGAUGAACUCUUGUCGUUCCAAAGCUUGAUUUCUGAGACCUUCUGCUUGACGGGCCGCGCAUGAGGACAGACAGCAAGGUGGUGCUCAAUCACCUCCCUGGGAACGCCGGGGAUGUCGGAUGCUUGCCAUGCAAACACAUCGACAUUCGCCCGCAGGAAGGUGACGAGCGCGUCUUCCUAUUUGUCGUCAAGGGUGGAGCUUAUGGUAAAAGCUCCUCCCGUGCCGUCCUCCUUGACACAAACCUUCUUGGGUCCCGGCGGUGUGGCCCUGGACUUCUUGUUUCUGUCGGCGGAGCUCUCUGGCACGUCCUCGACGGGAGCGCUACACUCCGAAGAGGUGCGCUUGCCGGAGUGGGUGCCUGAGGUCUCACCGGUCUUCUUCUUUUGCCUUUACGGGGCUCCAGCGGCAGGAGCAAGCGCCUUAGUAGUGGCGGCUGCUGCAACUGCUUGUUGGUAGAGUUGGUCAGCGUAAAUUAGCGCAUCCUUCUUGUCUGAUGGGACGGUGAUGAUCGCCACAGGCCCCGGCAUCUUCAGGGUGUUGUAGGCGUAAUGUGACACCGCCAUGAACUUGGCCAGUGCUGGGCGGCCAAGGAUCCCGUUGUAAGGCAAGGGGAUCUUGGCAACGUCGAACACAAUCCUUUCUGCCCUGUAGUUCAGAUCACUCCCAAAAGUCACGAGCAACGUGACCUUUCCCUUUGGUUGACUCCUUCCCGGGUUGACCCCCUGAAACAUGCCCGUCUCUUUGAGGUCUUCAUCAGGAAUCUGCAAUUUCUCGAUCACGGCAGGCGAGAUUAAGUUCAGACCGGCCCCGCCAUCGACUAGCAUCUUUGUCACCUUGAGGUUACGUAUUGUUGGUGAAACCAACAAUGGCAAGCACCCGACUGCAGUAGUGCGAUCAGGGUGAUCCUCAGUGUCAAAAAUGAUAGGUGUAACGCCCGGAUGAUGUUGCUACAGUAAUCCCACGUUAAUCAUGCCAUGUCAUCACGGUUACUGUUGCUAAACGUCCGUUUGUUCAAACCGUGUCAAAUUCAAAUUUAAAAUUUAAAAUUAACGUAGGCAAUAAAAGUUUUCAAAAAUUGAAACAAAAAUGUUCGGUCGUUGCCAAAUAUUACAACGGUAAUUAUGGUGCAGCAAACACAUUUUUAUAAAAUGUCUAAUUAAUUUAAAAGGUUUAAAAACAGAAGUGCAAAUAGAUAAAAACAAAACAGAAAAAAAAAGAAACCCCCCUGGGCCGUGGCCCAACUGGGCCAACCCAGCCGGCCCAGCCGGCCACCCCACCAGGCCGGCCCAACCACUCCCUCUCCCCAUAACUCCCCACUCCCCCCGAACCCUAACCCUCACCCGAUCCCCACUUCCCCCCCCCCACUCUCCCCUCACUCCCUUGAUCCAAAUCGGGANNNNNNNNNNNNNNNNNNNNNNNNNNNNNNNNNNNNNNNNNNNNNNNNNNNNNNNNNNNNNNNNNNNNNNNNNNNNNNNNNNNNNNNNNNNNNNNNNNNNNNNNNNNNNNNNNNNNNNNNNNNNNNNNNNNNNNNNNNNNNNNNNNNNNNNNNNNNNNNNNNNNNNNNNNNNNNNNNNNNNNNNNNNNNNNNNNNNNNNNNNNNNNNNNNNNNNNNNNNNNNNNNNNNNNNNNNNNNNNNNNNNNNNNNNNNNNNNNNNNNNNNNNNNNNNNNNNNNNNNNNNNNNNNNNNNNNNNNNNNNNNNNNNNNNNNNNNNNNNNNNNNNNNNNNNNNNNNNNNNNNNNNNNNNNNNNNNNNNNNNNNNNNNNNNNNNNNNNNNNNNNNNNNNNNNNNNNNNNNNNNNNNNNNNNNNNNNNNNNNNNNNNNNNNNNNNNNNNNNNNNNNNNNNNNNNNNNNNNNNNNNNNNNNNNNNNNNNNNNNNNNNNNNNNNNNNNNNNNNNNNNNNNNNNNNNNNNNNNNNNNNNNNNNNNNNNNNNNNNNNNNNNNNNNNNNNNNNNNNNNNNNNNNNNNNNNNNNNNNNNNNNNNNNNNNNNNNNNNNNNNNNNNNNNNNNNNNNNNNNNNNNNNNNNNNNNNNNNNNNNNNNNNNNNNNNNNNNNNNNNNNNNNNNNNNNNNNNNNNNNNNNNNNNNNNNNNNNNNNNNNNNNNNNNNNNNNNNNNNNNNNNNNNNNNNNNNNNNNNNNNNNNNNNNNNNNNNNNNNNNNNNNNNNNNNNNNNNNNNNNNNNNNNNNNNNNNNNNNNNNNNNNNNNNNNNNNNNNNNNNNNNNNNNNNNNNNNNNNNNNNNNNNNNNNNNNNNNNNNNNNNNNNNNNNNNNNNNNNNNNNNNNNNNNNNNNNNNNNNNNNNNNNNNNNNNNNNNNNNNNNNNNNNNNNNNNNNNNNNNNNNNNNNNNNNNNNNNNNNNNNNNNNNNNNNNNNNNNNNNNNNNNNNNNNNNNNNNNNNNNNNNNNNNNNNNNNNNNNNNNNNNNNNNNNNNNNNNNNNNNNNNNNNNNNNNNNNNNNNNNNNNNNNNNNNNNNNNNNNNNNNNNNNCACUCCAAAAUGUUUUAAAAAAACGAAAUAAAAAUAAAUAUAUAAUUAAUUAAUUAACUAAAAUUAAUUAAUUAAUAAUUAAAAUAGUUAAUGAAUUAAUUAAGUUAAUUAAUCAUGUUUAAUUAAACUAAUUAAGUAGAUAGUUUAAUUAAACCCUAAUUAGACUAAUCAGUCAAUGACGAAUGGGAUCCACACGUCAGUUGACCAGUCAACACCUCUGUUGACUGCUGACGUCAUGCUGACGUCAGCAUGCACUGUUCCGGAUAAUGUUGAAUUUAAAUAAUUAAAUAAAUCCUAAAAAUGAAUUAAGUCUUUUAAAAUUAAUAUAAAAUAAACCGUAGCUCAGAUGAAAAUACUUUCUACAUGAAAGUUGUUCAGAACGACGAGACGAAUCCGGAUACGCAACCCGUUCGUCCGCCACACCCCCCUAACCUAUCGAACUCGCAACUUUCCCCCUCCGGCUCCUUUGCCCAUAAACGCGAAACACCGGGAAUACUUUCCCGGAUGUUUCCCCCUUCACCGGUAUCACCUCAUACCGCGUUAGGGCACCUCUAGCACCGAUACUUGUCAUGUCAUGCAUCGCUAUGCACCUGCUUGCUUAUAUUUAUUGUUUCUUCCCCCUCUUCUCUCGCUAGACACCGAGACCGACGCUGCUGCUGCCCAGUUCGACUACGGAGUUGACGACCCCUCUCUCUUGCCAGAGCAACCAGGCAAGCCCCCCCUUUGAUCACCAGAUAUCGCCUAUUCUUAUCUCUACUGCUUGCAUUAGAGUAGUGUAGCAUGUUACUGCUUUCCGUUAAUCCUAUUCUGAUGCAUAGCCUGUCCUUGCUACUACUGUUGUUACCUUUACCUGCUAUCCUAAUGCUUAGUAUAGGAUGCUAGUGUUCCAUCAGUGGCCCUACACUCUUGUCCGUCUGCCAUGCUAUCUACUGGGCCGUGAUCACUUCGGGAAGUGAUCAUGGGCAUAUACUAUACACUUUAUACAUGUUCCAUUACUUGUGAUACUGUUCAGAGAUGGGGGCUGAAGGGGCAGGUGGCUCCAUCCCGGUAGAGGUGGGCCUGGGUUCCCGACGGCCCCCGACGGUUACUUUGAGGCGGAGCGAUAGGGCAGGUUGAGACCACCUAGGAGAGAGGUGGGCCUGUCCUUGGUCGAUGUUCGCGGAUACUUAACACGCUUAACGAGAUCUUGGUAUUUGAUCUGAGUCUGGCUACUGGCCUAUACGCACUAACCAUCUACGCGGGGACAGUUAUGGGCACUCGACGUCGUGGUAUCAGCCGAAGCACUUCGUGACGCCAGCGACUGAGCGGCACGCGCCGGGUUGGACCGCGUAACGUGACUUCCUUUGUAAUGGAGGUUGCUAGGUCUGCUCUCCGGCCGCGUACGCAACGUGCAGGUGUGCUAUGGGCGAUGGGCCCAGACCCCUGUGCGCUUAGGUUUAGACCGGCGUGCUGGCCUUUCUAUUGUGCCUAGGUGGGGCUGCGACGUGUUGAUCUUCCGCGGCCGGGCAUGACCCAGAAAAGUGUGCCCGGCCAAAUGGGAUCGAGCGUGUUGGGUUAUGUGGUGCACCCCUGCAGGGAAGUUAAUCUAUUAGAAUAGCUGUGAUCUUCGGUAACAGGACGACUUGGAGUUGUACCUUGACCUUAUGACAACUAGAACCGGAUACUUAAUAAAACACACCCUUUCAAGUGCCAAAUACAACCGGUGAUCGCUCUCUCACAGGGCGACGAGGGGAGGAUCAUCGGUUAGGAUUAUGCUAUGCGAUGCUACUUGGAGGACUUCAGUCUAAUCUCUUCUACAUGCUGCAAGACGGAAGCUGCCAGAAGCGUAGUCUUCGAAAGGACUAGCUAUCCCCCCUUAUUCCGGCUUUCUGCAGUUCAGUCCACAUAUGAUACCCUUAUUCCAUUUGAUACCAAUGCAUACAUAUGUAGUAUAGCUCCUUGCUUGCUAGUACUUUGGAUGAGUACUCACGGUUGCUUUCUCCCUCUUUUCCCCCUAUCCCUUCUACCUGGUUGUCACAACCAGAUGUUGGAGCCCAGGAGCUAGACGCCACCUUCGACGACGACUCCUACUACACCGGAGGUGUCUACUACUACGUGAUGCCCGCUGACGACGACCAGGAGUAGUUAGGAGGAUCCCAGGCAGGAGGCAUGCGCCUCUUUCGAUCUGUAUCCCAGUUUGUGCUAGCCUUCUUAAGGCAAACUUGUUUAACUUAUGUCUGUACUCAGAUAUUGUUGCUCCCGCUGACUCGUCUAUGAUCGAGCUCUUGUAUUCGAGCCCUCGAGGCCCCUGGCUUGUAAUAUGAUGCUUGUAUGACUUAUUUUAUUGGUAGAGUUGUGUUGUGAUAUCUUCCCGUGAGUCCCUGAUCUUGAUCGUACACGUUUGCGUGUAUGAUUAGUGUACGAUUAAAUCGGGGGCGUCACAAGUUGGUAUCAGAGCCGACUGCCUAUAGGAAUCCCCCUUCCACACUCCUUGGCCGAAGUUGAGUCUAGACAUUACAAAAUCUUUUACUAACAUGGAUGUGUGCCUUACGGGCCCACAUCGCCAUCUGGGUGGUAUUAGGCUCUUUUACUCCUCGAUCCUUACUCUAGGACACUGAACUCUCUCCUACUCGGGUUAAACGAUUUUACUAACUCUAACACUAGGAUCCCGUGACCACGUUCACCCCAAAGUUGGAUAAGCCCUAGUUAUUCUUUGGAGUAGUAUUUGAACAUUAUCCACAUUGUCAUUUGACUCCUGUGAAAACAUCUUUGUUUUCAUAUGGAACCCACGAGGCAGGUCGUGCGCCACACGACGGCCAUUGGUGCCUCAGGAUCACCUGCUGUGUUGGUUGAGAUGAUGACCUAUCUGGGUUAUCGCUGGCACCCUGAGUACACCAUCUAUGAGGAGUAUCAGGACUUCAACCAGGAGCAGUACCGUGCCAUCGUCCACCUCUACUCUCGAGAGUAUGACUCCACUACCGUGCUGCACACUGCUCAUGGUGUUGGAGUGACCAUCGACAUGGCGGUCCACGAUGCUGCUUAUGCUGCUCUGACACGUCUUCGCGGAGAGUAUCAGGAGUUGGACACCUUCCCCUUCAGGCACAUUGCUAUCGCAUCUGAUGUUGGUGCGGAGGGAUACUACACUGCUGCCUACUCCACCAUCACCCGAGAGCCCUUCUACCAUCAGAACCUGGUUUUGCAUGCUGAUGGGCUGGAUAGAGCUAACCGAGCUCUUCGCCAUGAGUUGUACACCACCCGUCAGCACCUGUAUCGUGCUCUGACGCUGUUGCACUCCUCUGUCCGAUCUGGUGAUCUGUCGCGUUUUGCAGUCUACCCUGCCAGGACCGUGAUGCCUUAGGGCGUCGGCUGGCCAGAUGUGGGAGGCUACUCUCCUGCACUUGGUCAUCUCCUGCCACCUGCGCAUCGGGUUCCGCACCAGAGUAUCCGCGGACCCCAGGCUGCUCGCGUGGAGGUCUUCCCUUCGCGACACUACCAGCUGUCAGGCUACACCUACCUCCACAGUUCCACCUGGGACUGAUGAGGGCUUGCUUAUUAGUGUUAGAUGCAUUCGUCGCGAGCCUGCGUGCCGCCUAUGAUGUCUUAGCCUGUGUACCGAACUCUGUGUAACGAACUCUAUGCAUGAUCUCUUUUGUAAGAUAUGCCGACUACUAUGUAGUAUCUAUCGUGCUGCUUUUGUUGUGCAUGUUACAUCAUGAAUGAUUCUCGUCUUUGCAAAUUUCUCAAUGCUGAACUACCCCUGUUAUAUAUUAGCAGGAUGGUUAGACCAGGUGGUCGUGGUCGUGGUGGCAACGCCCCACCACCGCCUGAGUACAUGACUGGUAUGAUCCAACAGCUUGAGAUGAAUCGCCAGUUCAUGGAGAAUAUGAUGGCUCAGUUUCCUCGCCCCAAUAUGAACCAGCAGCCAACCCCAGUAACUCUGCAGGAUUUCAUGCGCCUGAAACCAACUGUGUACCGCAGCUCAACUCAGCCUCUGGAUGCUGAUGAAUGGCUCCAUGACAUCACCUAUGAGAUGGAGUCUGCUGAUGUAGCCCCUGCCAGCUAUGUCACCUUUGCUUCCUUCUUCCUGAAGGGACCCGCGGCUCAAUGGUGGGACAGCCACAGGCGUACUCUGCCAGCUGGAACAAUCAUCACCUGGCCAGACUUCCAAGCUGCCUUCCGUGCUCGCUUCAUUCCUCAGGAGUCAUGGACCGGAAGAAACGUGAGUUCCGCAACCUCACUCAAGGCAACAAAACUGUGGAAGCUUACCAGCGGGAGUUUCUUGACUUGUCCCGCUAUGCUGAAGAGGAAAUUGCAACUGAUGCACGCAGACAGGAGAAGUUCCGUGAUGGCCUUCAAGCUGAAUCAAGCUCGCACUUCUAGUGCAUGACUUUGCUGAUUUCGCCACUCUGGUGAACAAGGCCAUCAAUGUCGAAACUGGUCUGCAGGAAUACCAGAGCUCUCACAGGCGCAACCGUGACACAGGCUCAUCUUCGGGCCCGUCUUUGCAGAAGCGCAAGAUAUGGAUUCCCAACAGCAUGUACUAGCCGAAUGCACUUGCCCCAAGGCAGACCUAUGCUGCAUCUCGUUUGCCUGCUCCUCCAACUAGGCAGCCAAGACUUCCAGCUCCACCACUACAAGCUCCUGUUCCCACUCCUAAUAAUGGUUUGUGCUACAAGUGUGGUCAACCAGGUCACCUUGCCAGGAACUGCAAUCAGAAUCAGAAUCAACUGUCCCUUCCCGCAACUGGCCGUGGAAGCAACCAGCCCCGCAACAACAGUGCCAAGUCUUAUGGUCGUGUUCAUGCCAACCACGUUGAUCUCAACGAAGCUCAAGACCAGCCUGCUACUGUGAUGGGUACACUCCUCGUAAACUCGGUACCUGCAUCUGUUUUAUUCGAUUCAGGAGCAUCGCAUUCAUUCAUGUCAGAAGAUUUUGCAUACAAGCAUGACGUUAAAUGUGAGGAGAUGAACACUUCGGUAUUGGUAAAAAAACCCGUGGGACAAUGUCAAACCUCACUGGUUGGCAUCAAUGUCCCCGUGGAAAUUGAAGGGCUGGAAUUCUAUGACUCUCCCAUUAUCCUGAAGUCGUCUAACAUCGACCUCAUUCUGGGAAUGGAUUGGUUGAAAGCGCAUACUGCUUCUAUAGUUUGCGCCACUAAGGUCGUCCAUCUGCUACACCCUUCUGACGAAAUAAUAGCGUACCAAGCUCAUCUAGUUCAGAACGCCGAGGCACGACUUUAUGUCUUGAAUGCGUUGAACGCUGCGCCACUCGAGGGCAUUGAAAACAUUCCCGUCGUUCGUGAAUUCCAAGACAUCUUCCCAGAAGAACUUCCAGGGAUUCCCCCUGCUAGAGCUGUCGAAUUCAUCAUCGACUUGAAACCCGGCACCACCCCUAUAGCUAAAGGACCCUAUAAGAUGCCGCCGCAUGAACUCAUUGAGCUUAAGGAGGAAAUCGACAAAUCUCUUGUCAAAGGUUUCAUUCGCCCAGGUUGCUCUCCUUGGGGAGCACCUUCUCUUUUUGUUAGGAAGAAGGAUGGGGCAAACCGAUUGGUCCAAGACUACCGUCCUAUAAACCAAGCUACCAUUCAGAAUAAAUACCCUCCUUCCUCGGAUCAAUGAUCUUUAUGAUCAACUGGCUGGCUCAUCAGUGUUCUCCAAACUCGACUUGAGGUUGGGUUACCACCAGAUCCGUGUUCGUGAGGAGGACAUCCCAAAAACCGCCUUCGUGACUCAGUAUGGAUCAUACGAGUACACCGUCAUGUCAUUCGGCUUAACGAAUGCUCCCGCCACCUUCUCUCGUCUGAUGAACUAUAUAUUCAUGGAUUACCUCGACAAGUUCGUCGUGGUUUAUUUGGAAGAUAUCCUUGUAUUUUCCAAGAACAAGGAAGAACGUGCUGAACAUCUUCGUCUUGUGCUGGAAAAGCUUCGGGAGCAUCAGCUGUAUGCUAAGUAUUCCAAGUGUGAAUUCUGGCUCCCCGAAGUAACCUAUCUUGGGCAUGUCAUCUCCAAGAAUGGUAUUGUCGUCAAUCCUGAACGAGUUCAGGCUAUUCUCGAUUGGACUCCUCCGAAGAAUGUGAAGCAAGUCCGAAGUUUUCUCGGCCUCGCCAGCUACUGCCGUCGAUUCGUCGAGAACUUCUCCAAGAUUGCCAGGCCUCUGACUAAUCUGUUGCAUAAGGGUGUCAAGUUCGAAUGGACAAACAAGUGUCAGGAAAGUUUCCAGGCGCUCAAAGACAAGUUGACUUCUGCCCCUGUGCUUGCUCCACCUGAUACUAAGAAGGACUUCGUCAUUUACUGUGACGCUUCCCGUCAAGGAUUAGGUUGUGUCCUAAUGCAAGAGCGCAGAGUGAUUGCUUAUGCCUCUCGUCAACUGCGCCCUCACAAAGAAAACUACCCAGUUCAUGACCUCGAGCUUGCUGCUGUCAUUCAUGCACUGAAGCAGUGGCGGCACUACCUUCUCGGUAAUCGUUGCGAGAUCUUUACCGAUCACCAAAGUCUGAAGUAUCUGUUUACUCAGCCAGACCUGAACCUCCGUCAGCAAAGAUGGAUGGAGACUGUUGCAGACUUUGACGUGGAUAUAUCAUAUACCCCCGGCAAGGCUAAUGUAAUGGCUGAUGCCCUGAUCCGCAAGUCUUACUGCAACCACCUCCAGGUUCACAAAGUUCAGCCCUCGCUUGUCGAAGAAUUUAGAAAGCUGAACCUCCAUGUUGGUCCUCCUGGAGCACUCUCUCCCCCUCCCCUGGAGUUCCGCAAGAUGAAUCUUCUUGUUGUUACUAAGGGUUCUCUAAAUACCCUGGCUGUCGUACCAGAUCUCGUAGCUGGUAUAAAGACUAUUCAAGGUUAUGACUCUGAAGUCCAUAAGAUUAAACGCCAUCUAGCAGAAGGAAAGCCCUCAUUCUUCUCUAUCGCCGACGAUGGCGCCUUGUAUUUCAAAGGCCGCCUAGUGGUACCAUGUUCGAAGAAAAAGCUGGAUAAGACUAAAAGGGUUAUGCAAGAAGCCCAUGAUACGCCUCUGUCCAUCCAUCCUGGUAGUACGAAGAUGUACCAGGAUAUUCGUCAAAGAUUCUGGUGGUCUAAUAUGAAACAGGACAUUGCUCGUUAUGUUGCUGAGUGUGACGUUUGUCGCCGAAUCAAAGUAGAGCAUCAAAGGCCUGCUGGAACUCUGCAACCUAUCUCUAUUCCUAAAUGGAAAUGGGACCAUGUUGAAAUGGACUUCGUCACUGGAUUUCCCAAAUCGCAGAAAGGUAAUGAUGCUAUUCUUGUCGUCAUUGACCGGCUUUCCAAAGUUGCCCAUUUUCUGGCGGUCAAAGAGACAAUCAUUGCUAGUCAGCUUGCUACUCUCUACAUGGCCAUAAUUGUUUCACUUCACGGAAUUCCACUGGUUAUCAGUUCAGACCGUGGCAGCUUAUUCACUUCAAGGUUUUGGGCGAGUUUCCAAGAAGCUAUGGGAACUCAUCUGUCGUUCAGUACUGCGUUUCAUCCUCAGUCGCAAGGACAGGUUGAACGUGUCAACCAAGUUCUCGAAGACAUGCUUCGAGCUUGUGUAAUCUCAUUCGGCUAGAAAUGGGAGGAAUCUCUUCCAUAUGCCGAGUUCUCUUAUAAUAAUAGCUAUCAAGCUAGUCUGAAGAUGUCCCCCUUCGAAGUGCUAUAUGGACGAAAGUGUCGAACCCCUCUAAACUGGUCAGAAACUAGGGAACGUCCACUCUUUGGUCCGGAUAUUAUCCAACAGGCUGAAGAACAAGUUCGCAUUAUUCGCGAGAAUCUCAAGACUGCUCAGUCACGUCAGAAAAGUCAGUAUGACCGUCAUCACCAAGACAUGGUCUAUCAACCUGGCGAAAAGGCUUAUCUUCGAGUUACACCAAUGAAGGGUGCACACCGCUUCGGGAUCAAAGGAAAGCUAGCUCCCCGCUAUAUUGGUCCUUUCACUAUUAUCAAAAGGCGUGGAAAGGUGGCAUAUCAACUGGAGCUUCCGCCGAACCUUUCUCAGGUUCACGAUGUGUUCCACGUGUCACAACUCCGACGCUGCUUCAAGGACCCAAUUCGAGCAGUGGAUCAUGAAGUGCUUGAAUUGCAACAAGACCUCUCCUAUAAAGAGCAUCCGGUCCGCAUUCUCGACCAAGCUGAACGCCGCACACGUCAGAAGGCGAUCAACUUCCUCAAGGUCCAGUGGUCGAAUCACUCUGAAGACGAAGCCACCUGGGAACGCGAGGAUCGUCUUCGUGAUGAAUACCCCGCACUGUUUCCUUCUACCUCCUAAAUCUCGGGACGAGAUUUCUUGUAGUGGAGGAGAUUUGUAACGCCCGGAUGAUCUUGCUACAGUAAUCCCACGCUAAUCAUGCCAUGUCAUCACGGUUACUGUUGCUAAACGUCCGUUAGUUCAGACCGUGUCAAAUUCAAAUUUAAAAUUUAAAAUUAAUGUCGGCAAUAAAAGUUUUCAAAAAUUGAAAUAAAAAUGUUCAGUGGUUGCCAAAUAUUACAAAGGUAAUUAUGGUGCAGCAAACACAUUUUUAUAAAAUGUCUAAUUGAUUUAAAAGGUUUAAAAACAGAAGUGCAAAUAGAUAAAAACAAAACAGAAAAAAAA